UGAAGUCGAUAGAUGGAUCUAGUUUUGUGAAGACCGGUCAAAAGUUAUUUGAGAUGUUGGAUUCUCUUGUUGAAGAGAUUGGAGAAGAUAAAGUGGUUCAAGUGAUAACCGAUAAUGGAAGCAAUUACGUCUUAGCGGGGAAGAUGUUAGAGGAAAAAAGGUCACACCUCUUUUGGUCUCCUUGUGCCGCUCAUUGCGUGGAUUUAAUCCAUCUGGUAUUGUUGUUCUUGCAGAUUCUUGUUUGGACACAGCUUGACGAAACCUAUCUAGUUAGUGAGAGCCGUGGUUCCUAGCAAGAGCUUAACCAUACGAUUGCAAUUGCCGCACUAACCGCGACAGAAUCUGUACAUUUCGCUUGAGAUAUGUUUUCCACGUUGUGAUUCGUUCGGGAGGAAGAAAUUAGUUAGUCUGAUUCUUGAAGUUGUUCUGGACACCUGGAUCCUUCCGUGGCGAGGUGGUGGUCAGUCUGGUACCUUGAACUUGAAUAGGCCUGGUUAAAGGGCCACAGCUCAAGGAGGUAUCUUUUGAAACUCUUUACAUAAUCGUGUGCGUAUUUGAUUUCAUACGUAACUUGUGUUGUUUCCCCAUCCAAUUCAAAAUUCUCCUAGGUCACCUUCAUCCAAUUCAAUUCAAAAUUCUCCUGUUUCCUGGUUUAGGAUUGAACUUGCCUUGUUGGCUUUUCAUGAAAUAUAUCUUUGUUUUACAUCUGAGAUACUGUGCAACAAAACUCAGCUGUUAACUCGUAUCUAAUCCAUCUGCUGCUGCUGCUGCUGCUGCUGGCACAAGUCAGACAGCAUCUGUGUUUAUGUUAUGCCUAUAAUUCCAUCAUUCAGGACAGGGGAAAUGCCAUCAAGCAGCAGUCACAAUGGUCAGGAUCUCUCCCAAAGAGAAGAUGGGAAAGAAACAGAGUAUCUGCAUCAAAAUUAGUCAAAGAGGGAGAUUCCAGCUGCUCAUAAGAUGGGCGUCCCAAUGGCAACUACAACUGUCUGAGCUUCAUGGAGAAGAAGAUGGGGAAGGAAGGAAGGAAUCGGACGGCUCAAUUGGCCGCGUGAGAACCACGAGCCAAUCAGAAGACGCGGUGAAGAUGAGCGUGGAAGCAGAGAAUCGCAGCCCCAUGGUGGAAUCAAAGGGUUCCAAAAGAGUGGUCCCCACUUUUGACAUUUUAACGAAGUCAAAGCACACAAUAAGAGCGAGGGAGAGUCCGUAUCCAUAUUCCACUACGAAAUUGCGAGGUCUGAGUGAGCUAGGAAGAGAAAGAAGAGAGAGGAAUGUGUUACAUUUUUUUUAAUGUUUGAAAAUAUACAAAUAUUUUUCACUAUC